rnacentral:rRNA from 1 species
AUUGAACGCUGGCGGCAGGCUUAACACAUGCAAGUCGAGCGAGCGGCGGACGGGUGAGUAAUGUCUGGGAAACUGCCUGAUGGAGGGGGAUAACUACUGGAAACGGUAGCUAAUACCGCAUACCAUCAGAUGUGCCCAGAUGGGAUUAGCUAGUGGGUGGGGUAAUGGCUCAACUAGGCGACGAUCCCUAGCUGGUCUGAGAGGAUGACCCGCCACACUGGGACGGGGACACGGCCCAGACUCCUACGGGAGGCAGCAGUGGGGAAUUUUGGACAAGGGGCGCAACCCUGAUGCAGCCAUGCCGCGUGUGUGAAGAAGGCCUUCGGGUUGUAAAGCACUUUCAGCGAGGAGGCGUUACUCGAAGAAGAAGCACCGGCUAACUCCGUGCCACCAGCCGCGGUAAUAC